UACGAAGGGGGCUAGCGUUGUUCGGAAUCACUGGGCGUAAAGGGCGCGUAGGUGGCCUGUUAAGUCGAACGUGAAAUCCCCGGGCUCAACCCGGGAACUGCGUCCGAGACUGGCAGGCUCGAAUCCGGGAGAGGGAUGUGGGAUUCCAGGUGUAGCGGUGAAAUGCGUAGAUAUCUGGAGGAACACCGGUGGCGAAGGCGGCAUCCUGGACCGGUAUUGACGCUGAGGCGCGAAAGCCAGGGGAGCAAACGGG
rnacentral:rRNA from 1 species